GACGAACGCUGGCGGCGCGCUUAACACAUGCAAGUCGAGCGAGAACCAGGGCUUCGGCCCUGGGGACAGCGGCGAACGGGUGAGUAACACGUGGGUAAUCCACCUCGGCACCGGAAUAGCCCGGGGAGACCCGGAUUAAUGCCGGAUGGCCCGCCGGCCCUGCGGGGCUGGCGGAAAAGGUAGCUUCGGCCUCCGGCCGAGGACGAGCCCGCGACGGAUUAGCUUGUUGGUGGGGUAACGGCCUACCAAGGCUGCGAUCCGUAGCUGGUCUGAGAGGACGAUCGGCCACACGGGGACUGAGGCACGGCCCAGACUCCUACGGGAGGCAGCAGUGGGGAAUCUUGCGCAAUGGGCGAAAGCCUGACGCAGCGACGCCGCGUGAGGGAAGAAGGCCUUCGGGUUGUAAACCUCUUUCAGGAGGGACGAAGCCACUCGGGUUAAUAGCCCAGAGGGUGACGGUACCUCCAGAAGAAGCCCCGGCUAACUACGUGCCAGCAGCCGCAGUAA
rnacentral:rRNA from 1 species